AAUGAUCUCUUUGUUGUAGGUGCUUCCCAGGCACCCAAAGAGGAGAAGAAACUAAGUGGAUCGCAGCAGGCAGGAUCGUCUGGAGCUAAGGCAUCGAGUCCCGUUGCAGAAACAUUCAGAGUUAUUCAGGGGGCAAUGAGCGAAGAGUAUGUGAGAACCACGCAGGGGGUGUACCAGUUUGAAUUAUCUGGUGAUGAAGGAGGCACUUGGUAUAUUGACCUGAAAACCAAGAGUGGGAGUGCUGGUUUUGGCAAGCCUCCUGAGACAGCUGAUGUGGUUAUGAGCAUGUCGAGUACCGACUUUGUGAAGAUGUUCACAGAUUAGCUAAAGCCAAUUCUGGCUUUCAGGACAGAAAAAUUAAGCAUUAAAAACAACAUGGUGCUAGCAAUGAGUCUGGAAAAGAUGCUGCCACGGUUCCUUUUUGAACACCAGCAGAACACUGGCCUUUCUUGUGUAACUACAAAGCUGCUCUGAAAUACCAAUCCUCAUUUUUAUUUGACAGUGCAAUGAAAGUAUCAAUAAAGUCUGUAACUGUUAGUGAAGACACAACUCAGUCUGCUUGCGAUGCCCAAAAACAAACAUGUUUUUCUUAAUAAUUUGCUACAAUGAUAAAAAUUAA